AACGAACGCUGGCGGCAGGCUUAACACAUGCAAGUCGAACGCAUCGCAAGAUGAGUGGCAGACGGGUGAGUAACGCGUGGGAACAUACCCUUUUCUACGGAAUAGCUCUGGGAAACUGGAAUUAAUACCGUAUACGCCCUACGGGGGAAAGAUUUAUCGGGGAAGGAUUGGCCCGCGUUGGAUUAGCUAGUUGGUGGGGUAAAGGCCUACCAAGGCGACGAUCCAUAGCUGGUCUGAGAGGAUGAUCAGCCACAUUGGGAUUGAGACACGGCCCAAACUCCUACGGGAGGCAGCAGUGGGGAAUAUUGGACAAUGGGCGCAAGCCUGAUCCAGCCAUGCCGCGUGAGUGAUGAAGGCCUUAGGGUUGUAAAGCUCUUUCACCGAUGAAGAUAAUGACGGUAGUCGGAGAGGAAGCCCCGGCUAACUUCGUGCCAGCCGCCGCAGUAACAC
rnacentral:rRNA from 1 species